AACGAACGCUGGCGGCGUGCUUAACACAUGCAAGUCGAACGCGAAAGGGACCUCGGUCCUGAGUAGAGUGGCGCACGGGUGAGUAACGCGUAAGUUAUCUACCCCUCCAUCUGGAAUAACUCACCGAAAGGUGUGCUAAUACCGGAUACGUUGGAAACAAGAAAGGUGGCCUCUUCUAUGCUACCGUGGAGGGAUGAGCUUGCGUACCAUUAGCUAGUUGGUAGGGUAAUGGCCUACCAAGGCAACGAUGGUUAGCGGGUCUGAGAGGAUGAUCCGCCACACUGGAACUGGAACACGGACCAGACUCCUACGGGAGGCAGCAGUGAGGAAUAUUGCGCAAUGGGGGAAACCCUGACGCAGCGACGCCGCGUGGAUGAUGAAGGCCUUUGGGUCGUAAAAUCCUGUCAGAUGGAAAGAAAUGUACAUGUGCUAAUAUCACUUGUAUUUGACGGUACCAUCAAAGGAAGCACCGGCUAACUCCGUGCCAGCAGCCGCGGU
rnacentral:rRNA from 1 species